rnacentral:lncRNA from 1 species
UCCCCGCCGCGACACUCGCCGCAGCGCACGAGGCGUCGAGCUAGCGCUUCCAGCCCUUGACAGCAAUCGAGUUCGCGUGCGCGCUCAUCCCGGCUCGCGCUCUCACAUCUCAUCCCCAGAAAGUUCCAGGCACGAUCUACAGCAGGAUGUUGACGCAGCAACACGUUUCCGGGCUCUCCACCGCCCUUCCGCCCAGGCUGACCUCCCGCGCGUCCCUUCGCGGUGCGCGCGCCGUCGCCCCGUCGAAGACUUUCGCGUCACGCCGAGGCCGUGCCAACGCCGUCGUCGUCAAAGGUGAGCCUUCCCGUGAAGCCCCGCCUCUGGCUGCGCCCGGUUUCCCCGGUCCGUUCGGUGAAUGUUCCUCCCGCCAAUCGUGCAGAAGAACCGCUGGCCGAAAACUAACAUCUCCCGUCUCUUGCGCAGCCGAGGACACCAACUGGGGGCGGGAGCUUUCUUCCGCUGUCGUCCGCGUCGGUGCCGGCGUGCUGAUGGUCCACAACGGCCUCGAUAAGCUGGUCGACCCCGAGGGAUUCGCCAAGUUCGUCGUCGAGCCGUACCUCGGCUUUCUGCCACACGACG